UACGGGGGGGGUAAGCGUUGUUCGGAAUUACUGGGCGUAAAGGGCUCGUAGGCGGCCAACUAAGUCAUACGUGAAAUCCCUCAGCUUAACUGGGGAACUGCGUGUGAUACUGGAUGGCUUGGAUUUGGGAGAGGGAUGCGGAAUUCCAGGUGUAGCGGUGAAAUGCGUAGAUAUCGGGAGGAACACCAGUAGCGAAGGCGGCUCGCUGGGCCGUUCCUGACGCUGAGACGCGAAAGCUAGGGGAGCGAACAGG
rnacentral:rRNA from 1 species